ensembl:lncRNA
GUCAUCUCACCGCGACCGCCUCUGUCUCCAUGGAGACGCGGCGCCCCGGAGCCCUCCCGAGCUCCAUAGAACAGCGGGAGGGGUCCGGGAACGGCGGCUCCGUAGAGCGGAGGGAGGGGGUCGGGAACGGCGGCUCCGUAGAGCGGAGGGAGGGGGUCGGGAAAGGCGGCUCCGUAGAGCGGAGGGAGGGGGCCGGGAACGGCGGCUCCGUAGAGCGGAGGGAGGGGUCGGGAACGGCGGCUCCGUAGAGCGGAGGGAGGGGGCCGAGAAUGGUGCAGGCAGGUGCGGUAACCGAGCACCCCCCCCCCCGCAGCCCGUGUGCCCCUGUCCUAUUGCGGCUGAGCUCGGCUGAGCGCAUCCCUAUGGAGCAUCCCGGAGCCAUGGAUGUGCCAUGGAUGUGCCAUGGAUGUGCCAUGGACACGGGGCUGAAGAGCUGCGGGAACAGGGAUGGGAGGAGCUGAUCCCAGCGCUGCCGGUGCCGGAUGACACCAUCCAAGUGCGAACUCAUCCCAAGUAACUCCAGGCUCUGUUCCCUUCUCCAGCCGGGAUAACAUGGAGCCGAUUCAUGGCUCCGACCUCGGGCUCCUGACUGGAAGCAAAGCCGUUCAGAGGAUCCUGUGCCCUAUGGCUGCCCAGCUCUGCCACCUCAUCCUGGCCCUGGAAGGGGAGCAUGGGAUCUGUCCCGAUAUAGGGCAGGAGGCAGAAGCGUUGGCUCAAGCCACAGAGGAACUCGCUGCUGCUGCAAUGAGGCUGGCUGAGGAUGCUGGAGAUGAGCUCCUGGAGGAGACACAUCCUGCGGCCGAGGCGCUGGUGCUGGCGGGCAGGAAGGUGGUGCUGGCAGCCGGCAGGGUCCGGGCACAGCCACACAGCCCUGGCCACAGGGAGGAGCUGACAGCGGCUGCACGGGGGGUACUGAUGGAGACAGCGAAGAGCAAGGACCAGCUGGUUGCCUGCGCGAGGCAGAUGGCUCUGCAUGGGCAGCAGUUUGUCACCUUUGGCCGUGCCCUGGCCAGGCUCUGCCUGGACACGAGGUGCUCCAUGGAGCUGCUGAGUGCCACCGAGCAGGCUCACACCAUCAGCAGCCAGCUCAGCAUCGUGGCCAGGGUAAAAGCAGUCACUGCAGAGAGCAAAUCCUCUUCUGAGCUGCUCGUGAGCAACACACAGAACCUGGUCCAGGCAGUUCUGCACAUCCUGAAGGCAGCUGAGGCAGCGUGUGUCAAAGGCCUGCGCCAGCCUCUGCCUGACACUGAGGAAGCAGCAGCAGCUGCUCUGUGCAUGCAGUGGAGAAGAAACCUGUUCCUGCACAGAGCCAAAGCAUCCUUCACCUCAGACAGGGAUGAACUGGGGCUGCGCAGGACUCGGACCACAGCUGAGCCCUCCCUGGUGGCAAUGGUGCAAGAACCACACACCAAGGACACCCCUGAGCACCCACGAGGUGUUAAAGGAGGUACAAUUAUGGGUGGCCACCUGUAGAAAGAGGAAGGGGCUUGUGCCUCCUUUUGGUGAGUGAACAGAGGAGAAUGAUGCCACAAACCAGGGCAGGCAGCCUGUGAUGUGGUACCUUCACUGUCCCAGCAGCUGCCAGUUCUGUGCUCUGCAGCACCCAAGAUGUGAACAGGAGGAGGUAGGACCACACUGGGAGCAGCAGCAGAUAUGGUUGGGGGGAAUAAGUAGGGCCAGGCCAAAGGGAAUGGCUUGAACCUGCCAGAACAGGGGAGACUGAGCUGAGCUCUGAGGCAGAAGCUGUUCCCUGGGAGGGUGCUGAGGCGCUGGCACAGGGUGCCCAGAGAAGCUGUGGCUGCCCCAUCCCUGGCAGUGCUCAAGGCCAGGCUGGACACAGGGGCUUGGAGCAGCUGCUCCAGUGGAAGGGGUCCCUGCCCGUGGCAGGGGUUGGAGCUGGAGGAGCUUUAAGGUCCCUUCAACACAAACCAGGUUGGGAUCCUAUGAAGGAUCAGGGGUUCUGUGAACAACCCAAUUACUCAUCUCCCACCCAAGAAAGCCACUGAGCUGGAAGGUCCUUCUCAGGCCCUGAUCUUUAGCACUUUAUCAACCUGUUCUGCAACCAUCCCCUUUUCUUCUCAGGGUAACAAUCCUAAAUACUGCACAGGAAGGGCAGCCAGAGAGGUAGAGCCCUGCAGCAGGCUCACACACUAAACAUGAAGUCAGGAGGGUAACAUGCACUACAGAAGCUGGAGGGAAGAUGCACUGAAUGAGAAGUGAGCCUAAGGGAGUUAAUUCAGGCAUCACCAAGAUCUGAAACACAAAACAGGAGUGCAAUUGUUCUGUUUGCAAGAAUAAAUGGAUUUCAUUUGCACUACGAAGGGUUUGUGUUGAGUCUUUUCAUCCCAGUAGGGAAAUACAAACCAGGCUUUUUGUUGUGGGGCAGCAAACCCCAGGCAGUGGCUGAGCAAUGCUCAGUCCUCCUGCAGUGCAGGAUCAGCCAAGACCAGACACCAACACCAACUCCUUCCCAUCUCCAGGGCUAGGAGUGGGGAGCAUUUUCCUGCCAAGAACUGAGACUUUCCUCCCCAAACCCCCUCAGCCCUGAGUAAGAUCCUCAAUGUAUCACUCACCUCAUAGCUAUGGGCUUCUGGAGUACCCAGGACCAACACCACAGCUGCUCCUGCUCUCCACUUCCAUGCUUCCAUAGCUCAGGGUGUGAGUUUCAAGCAUCCAAGGGGAAUGCUGCUCCAUGCCAGCACACUGCACUGCGGGAAGAGACAACACACACUGAAUCCAUCAGCAGAUCCGAUGUGACCUGCUCGGUGGCUGGAGCAGGACUGUCCCCACCGACAGCUCCAGCAUCUUCCCCAUAUCAGAUAGCUUCUUACUUGCACUGUAGGGAUGGAUCUCCUCUGUGUUUCAGGAGAGCAACAGCACAGCAGGGAAUCUGUAAGGAGUACACCCACAGGCAGAGGUGGAUGGAGGAGCAGCAGCAUCCUGCAGCCCCUGGUGCUGUAGCUGGGAAAUCCGGAGGCUGGAUCUGGCAGGAGGAAGGAAGGAAGCAGUUAACACAUGGAGACAAGAGGCUGCAAGCACCAGCUGCCCCCUUUCAGCUUACCUGUGCCCCUGCUGGUCCAGAAUGAAGGGUAUUGGACUGAAG